rnacentral:rRNA from 1 species
UACGGAGGGUGCAAGCGUUGUUCGGAAUCACUGGGCGUAAAGCGCACGUAGGCGGCCGAUCGUGUCGAAUGUGAAAGCCCUCGGCUCAACCGAGGAAGUGCAUUCGAAACUGGUUGGCUUGAGUCCGGUAGAGGAGGGUGGAAUUCCGGGUGUAGAGGUGAAAUUCGUAGAUAUCCGGAGGAACACCGGUGGCGAAAGCGGCCCUCUGGGCCGGUACUGACGCUGAGGUGCGAAAGCGUGGGGAGCAAACAGG